UGACCAAUCAUCAACUUUAAUUACUAAUAAAAUGCUAAAAUACAUAAAUGAAACUACAGUAAAAGUAUGAGAACGCUGAGGCCUUUGCAAAAAGUUGUUGGCACUUUCAUAAGAUGUCCUACAUAUUAUUCAUUACAUUGUUUUUCUUCACCCAAGGGUUUCUGAGGGGUGAUUUCCUGUCUAAAAUGAGAAGGAAAAUGGGGAGGGGAGAAGGCACAUACAGGUCUGUGCCUCAAAAUGACUGUAGAAGGCUGAGUAAUAUGGAAGGAAUGUGAAAUGCUCUGAACCAGGGAAAGAAAGUGUUGUUUGUUGUGAAGGACACUGGAUUUUACCAUAGUCAAUAGCCCCUGAAAAAGAAAAAGGAAGGGACUGAAUUGACAUCUUAGUCUGCAACAAUUAGAAGGUGAACAGACUUAAGGUGUAGGGAAAAAAGGGGGGAUCUGGUCCUGACCAUGGGUUCAAUAAUUCCACCCUCAACUCCUUUAGACAGAAGAGUUCAAGUCUCAGCCUUCAGCAAGUCUUAGAUCAAAUGGAUGAAGAGUGUUGUCAAUUUUCUGUAACAGCCUCCAAAAAAUGUGCAGGAUGAGAAAUGGUAAAUAUUUGUCUCUUGUGACCCCAGAAACAGCGUGGGCUGACACAAAACUGUUGAGAGAGAAAAUAUAAAAUGAGAAAACAAAAUAGUCUCCCAAAAAAAGAGGUGACUAGAAAAAUCUAAAUUUUCUUUUCCAUUUAAUAACCAUGAACAUUGGGUAAGUUCCUUAUGCAAUUUGUGGUUUCAGAUUCCUCAUUUUUAAAAAGGGAAUAAUAAUACCCUACUUCCCUCUGAAGGUCAUUCUGAAAAGCAAAUGCAAUUAUAAAUGUGAAACCACUUUGAACAGUCCAAAAGUACAUGCCAAAGAUAAGGUUUCACUAUUAUUAGUCAGCAUAUAUCGAAGCAUGUUCACUGGGAAAACAUUUUCUGCAGUGACAAUUUCAAACGUGACUGAUUAAAAGGAAUUGCUAAAGAAAUUUGCAGAACAGUAGCAAUGAGGCAGCCAUGAUCUCCUUAACAGGAUACUAAGCUCUAGUACUUCUGAAUUCUCAUUUCAAUCCUGUCCAGGAAUUUCAGAACUUUAUUCUCCAAAAUGCUUCCUCUCUCCCCUACCCUCAUGUAUUUACAACAAUGAUCAUUAUUUGCAAUCUAUAAACUUCCAGUUAACGUCCUCCAGGAAAACCACCUUCCUGAAUCUCCACACCAGAUUCAGCUGUCAUCUCCUAUUUACUCUCAAGUCCAACUGAGACCACUGCCAAGAUGAAGCUGGUGUCUGGAGCGUAUGUUUUCUCCUGGGGUCUUGAUUACCAGUCAGUUUGGCAUCUUACGAGAUGAUGGAAAGAGAAAAGACUGAAUUUAUUUUUCUGUGCCACUACAAAAUCUCUUGACAUUUGGCUUUCCAAGCAAACCCUAUUUUGAGCUCUGUCCUCUUUCAUCCGAGACCAUGGCCUUCAGCUCCAUUUUUGUGAGAUGUUUCCUACACCUCCAGGCAGUGCUUCUGCAGUCAGGCCCAGUGAAGUGCAGGGAAAGCAGGGCUGGCUCCGGCCUGCCCUGGGAAGGGAAGCUUCACAAAAGAAUCUGUGAGGACUUCCAGCUGCUCUGGUAGAGCUGGGAGGCUGGGAAUGGGCGAGAUCAAGUUGAAGAAUUAAAUAGAAAC
rnacentral:lncRNA from 10 species